UCUGGUUGAUCCUGCCAGUAGUCAUAUGCUUGUCUCAAAGAUUAAGCCAUGCAUGUCUAAGUACAAGCCUCACUAAGGUGAAACCGCGAAUGGCUCAUUAAAUCACACCUAAUCUACUGGAUAGUAAAAAGUUACUUGGAUAACUGCGGUAAUUCUGGAGCUAAUACAUGCACAAAGCCGCGACUCACGAAGCGGCGCUUUUAUUAGAUCAAAACCAAACGGCUUCGGCUGUACUCAUGGUGACUCUGAAUAACUUUGGGCUGAUCGCAUAGCCUUGAGCUGGCGACAUAUCCUUCGAAGGUGUGCCCUAUCAACUUUCGACUGUGGCAUAGACGCCCACAGUGGUUUUGACGGGUAACGGGGAAUCAGGGUUCGAUUCCGGAGAGGGAGCCUUAAAAACGGCUACCACAUCUAAGGAAGGCAGCAGGCACGCAAAUUACCCAAUGACCGAAGGUCGAGGUAGUGACGAAAAAUAACGAUAGAGGACUCAUCCGAGGCCCUCUAAUUGGAAUGAGUACACUUUAAAACCGUCCCCGAGGAUCUAUUGGAGGGCAAGUCUGGUGCCAGCAGCCGCGGUAAUUCCAGCUCCAAUAGCGUAUAUUAAAGUUGUUGUGGUUAAAAAGCUCGUAGUUGGAUCUCAACAGCCUUGAAGCGGUUAACUUUGUAGUUUUACUGCUUUAUAGGCUGUGCUUUUGCUGGAGGUUUAGGGGUGCUCUUGAUCGAGUGUCUCUGGAUGCCAGCAGGUUUACUUUGAAAAAAUUAGAGUGCUCAAAGCAGGCUAAAAUGCCUGAAUAUUCGUGCAUGGAAUAAUAGAAUAGGAUGUCGAUCCUAUUUUGUUGGUUUUCGGGACUCGACAUAAUGAUAAAUAGGGACAGUCGGGGGCAUUUGUAUUCAAACGACAGAGGUGAAAUUCUUGGACCGUUUGAAGACAAACUACUGCGAAAGCAUUUGCCAAGAAUGUUUUCAUUAAUCAAGAACGAAAGUUAGAGGUUCGAAGGCGAUUAGAUACCGCCCUAGUUCUAACCAUAAACGAUGCCAGCUAGCGAUCUGCCUGCGUUUUUACUGUAGACUGGGCAGGAAGCUUCCGGGAAACCAAAGCAUUUGGGUUCCAGGGGAAGUAUGGUUGCAAAGCUGAAACUUAAAGGAAUUGACGGAAGGGCACCACCAGGAGUGGAGCCUGUGGC
rnacentral:rRNA from 1 species